rnacentral:rRNA from 1 species
AACGAACGCUGGCGGCGUGCCUAACACAUGCAAGUCGAACGAGACCUUCGGGUCUAGUGGCGCACGGGUGCGUAACGCGUGGGAACCUGCCCUUAGGUUCGGAAUAACUCCCCGAAAGGGGUGCUAAUACCGGAUAAUGUCUUCGGACCAAAGAUUUAUCGCCUUUGGAUGGGCCCGCGUUGGAUUAGCUAGUUGGUAGGGUAAAAGCCUACCAAGGCGACGAUCCAUAGCUGGUCUGAGAGGAUUAUCAGCCACACUGGGACUGAGACACGGCCCAGACUCCUACGGGAGGCAGCAGUGGGGAAUAUUGGACAAUGGGCGAAAGCCUGAUCCAGCAAUGCCGCGUGAGUGAUGAAGGCCUUAGGGUUGUAAAGCUCUUUUACCCGGGAUGAUAAUGACAGUACCGGGAGAAUAAGCUCCGGCUAACUCCGUG